AAAGCAUUUCCAUAGAGGGUUUAAGGCAACGGCGCUCUCUCAGUCUCACUCCGUUUCUUAAGGCUCACUCUCCGUCUCAGUUUCACGAUGUGGGACGAUUGUUAUGAAGGUAAGUCUCUGUUGAGCCCUGAAUCCACCUCUAAGCUUUGUUUGUCCAUCACUCAUGUCUUCCAAAAUUGGCUCAAAUCUCUCCCUGAAGAAAUCAUACCCACCAUCCUGAUCAGACUACCCAUCAAAUCCUUGAUCAGAUUCACCUCUGUCUGCAAGUCUUGGAUGUCCACCAUUAAAGACCCAAGCUUUAUCCGCACCCACCUCACCCACACUCUCACUCUCAAUGACCAAAAUGCCACCCACCUCAUUCUCCUCCACAAUUAUGGGUUCGAAGAAGACUCCUACUCUUUGCACUAUGAUAACAAUGAAGUCAGUCAGUACUGCAACAUUGAAUUUCCAAUUGGUCUCAAGAACAGAAUGAAGAAUUCGUGUUUUCGUGUUGUGGGUACUUGUGAUGGGCUCGUUUUGCUUGCUGAUGAUCUAGGGAAUGAAGCUUACAACUUUGUUAUAUGGAACCCUAGUAUAAGAAAGUAUGUGAUCCUUCCUAAGCCCAGUGUUAGGUUUUCGACACACGGUGACUAUGAGGCUAACAUUGGUCUGGGUUAUGAUGCUAUUGGUAAUGAUUAUAAGCUUGUGAGGGUGACAUCUCUUGUGGAUCAACCUGAUCACUACCCAAGGACUUUAGUUCAGUAUUAUUCACUAGCCACAGGCUCUUGGGGCAUGCUUCGUCUUCUCCCUCCAUGUUUAGUGAAUAGCUCCCGGGUCCAUGUUUUAGUCAAUGGGGCACUGCACUGGCUGGCUAUCUGUUGGACGGAUGAUCAUCAAAUAAAGUAUUUGGUUAUGGCAUUUGAUGUGGGAGGUCAGUCAUUUCGAGAGAUAAUGCUGCCUGAGAGCCUCCAACUGGAUGAGUUAUUGGAGUUCAGGUUGGGUGUUUCGGGAGAUAGAAAAUCCAUUGGUCUGUUUGUGAGGUGCAAGAGUGAGACUAACUGUUUUCUUGAUAUAUGGGUAAUGAAGGAGUAUUGCGUUGAGAAGUCGUGGACCAAAUUGAUGAUUCUCACUCCACAAGGUCCAAAAAGAAGUUUACCCAAAGCAUUGUGUUUUAGGAGGAGUGGGGAAGUGGUGUUGAUACUUGAAGAUGACCGUGAAUUGGUUUCACUUGAGAUUGUGAGCAAACAGUUUAAAAAUCUUGGGAUUUCUGCAGGUCAGGUUUGUUUUGUUGACUCGUAUGAAGAGAGCCUACUCUUGCUUGACAGGAAGGAUGCAAUUUCUUAUUGAGGGGAAAGAAGAGGUAAGGUGAUAAGUUAUAUAACUGGCUUCGUGUUUAAAUACAUAUGCAGCUAAGUUUAUUUGACAUGUGACUACUGAAUUUUAGUGCAAAACAAAGUUUAGUAUUCUGUAUCCUGAUUGAUUUAGUAGUAUCCUUGUCAAGUGUUUUUUCUUCUUCUUUGUAUACAGUUGCUCUGUUCUUAGUUUUCUGGGUGUCUUGUUGUCAGCUUGCUUUCGUUGUUGUUUUAUAGAAUCUCCUGUCUUAGGUAGUUAGUUGAUUGUAUUUCUUGCUUGUGUUGUCUGAAAACAGAACUUCCUAACUAGUUUAAUCGGAAUGAUGCAAUCCUACUCCCAUAACAAGCUCAGAGCUGAAAAAAAAAAAUUUGGACAAGAUGUUAAAGUUAAUACAUGGUUAUGCUGCUCCUAUUAUCAGUCCCUGCAGUUUUGUGUUUUAUGUAGCACCGCUUGGUAGUGCCUUACAGUGGACUGUGGUCUCUGUGGAGCUGGUGAUACUACUUAAGUGUACUUGAUAUAACAUGUUAUUAUUUGCUGUUCUGCUAGAAGUCUAGAACUAUAAAAAGGCUCAUGCAAUGGAUGCUUUAAUCAAUUUAGCUUUGCUUUAUAGUACAUUCCCAUUUGGAUAGACAUCAGUAUAACAUAACCUGAUGAAAUGAGCACCAGACCAUAGAGGAGAAGGUGAUACUAUGAAAACCCCCAGCAUGAACUGAAAGUAGGACAUGAUAGUGGCAUAAGUGUAUAACUUAUAGCCUAAUUUCUGCAGUUUUAAAUUCAUUUUUAAUAUCUAGACUGUAUGUACCUGUAGUGUUUUUUUUUUUCCUUUUCUUUCUUUCUUGGAUCGAAGUAUCUCCAAGUUAUCUUACAGGCUUCAUGCUUUGGAAAUCUUGAGCAACUAUUCAUUCUACAUCUGUCUGUGAACCGUAAACUGCACAAGUUACCUCCACUUCAAUCUUUCAUGCCUGUGUAUGCAAGUGGACUGAAAGUAGUAAGAGGAUGCUAUCAGAUGUAUGUGGGAUAUAAGUUUAAUGAGUUUCAAGUCUGCUCUCUGUAGCUGUGAAGUGCGAUAAAACUGCCAUUCUGAAGUCACUAUCUACUUUCUUUUAAUAUCUGUUGCUUAGUUUAUCCUGAUGGUAUUUGCCUGUAAUGUGAAAUUGAUAUCCUUACUUAUGAUGGAUGUUAAUUAUAUAUUUUGUUAUAUUGCUAUGAAGAACCGUUUUAGUGUGCUGCAUAUGUGCGUCGAUGUUUAUUUUUCAUGUUAUAUAUAGACGUUGCCAUAGUUCAUCAGGAGAAGCAUAUCUUUGAAGAAAGAAUUCAUUUUCCUCAAAUCUAUCUAAUAAUUUACAUGUAUGAUCCCUA